rnacentral:rRNA from 1 species
UACGUAGGGGGCGAGCGUUGUCCGGAUUUAUUGGGCGUAAAGAGCUCGUAGGCGGUUUGGUAAGUCGGGUGUGAAAUCUCCACGCUCAACGUGGAGGGGCCACUCGAUACUGCCAUGACUCGAGUCCGGUAGAGGAGUGUGGAAUUCCCGGUGUAGCGGUGAAAUGCGCAGAUAUCGGGAGGAACACCCGUAGCGAAGGCGGCACUCUGGGCCGGAACUGACGCUGAGGAGCGAAAGCAUGGGGAGCAAACAGG